UUAUAAUUGCUGCACGCUGUUCUUGGAUGUAUAGGCAACAUGCAUUCCUGAGAUGCUGUGUUUCUUUUUUGCUUUGGGACGGUCGACUGGCGAUAUCGUAUUACAUCCGGCGCGAAGGCCUAUUGUUUCGCAUUGGCAUAUGCGUGUUCCCCGUUUUGACGAUGGCUGGAUAAUUAUUGACGUGAGGAAUAAUAUGAAUUUAUGUGGCUGUGAAUAGACCUCGGGUUUUUGCUCGUUGUGAGGCACUAAAAAUGUGUGAGUGUGCGUGUGCGUUUGUGCAGCUGGGACCCCACUUGACAAGUGCGGCAAUGGUGUAGGCGGACGGAGCAUUACGUGAAGCCAAGGGCAAGCUGCGACCUUGAACAUGCAGAGCAAGUUUAUUUUUAGGCUAUGACAACUCCUCGCACCCGUGCAUGUUGGGGCAUGCAGCGAGGUCGCCGCUAUAUAAGUGGGGAGGAUGUGUAAAGAGGCAGCAGUCUUCGCAUCGCUUCGGGAGUGUGCGGAGCUCGCUUCAAAAUGCCUAGAUGCGUGUUCUGCUUUUUUGAUCCUCAUGAUAUCAUGGAUGAUGAGCCAUUGGAAGAGAAUUCACCAUCUUCUCCAGACAUUUCACCUGCCACAUUGCAUGCUCACGUCAAGCGAUCACAUCCCUAUGUGGACAUUUCCUUCCUGCCUUUCUUUCAAACUGAUAGCGCAUUUCGAGGUAUCGUCAAAGCGUUUGUGCUGUUGGCAUCUGUUCACGAUCAGGGAGUAGAGGACUUGCGACAAUAUUUAAUGAACCACCUCCACAACAUAAUUGCUAUUUUGCGAGCACAAAGAAUACCCUUUAGGUUUUGCAUUUGUUCUGACGUUCUAAUGAUGAAAGAAAAUCGAGGGGAUCUAACCGCACACAUAGCUCAUUUUAUGGCGCUUGCUCGCGAAGUCCACAGCGACGGAGCUAUCGCAAAUACUUUGAUGGAUGUGAUUCAGGAGUCCACCGGACGCAUUGAAAAUUACCAGCGCGAGGGUAGUGGGUUUGUAUCCACUGACGUCCAAAAAGUUCAAAUGUGUAUUUCCGCUGUGAAAACUAAAAAAAUUCGGGUGCAAUGGGGUACUUCCCACGAAUCUGGCUAAACGCAGAAACGUGUUAAUGAAUGUCCCUUUACCAGAGCGUAAGGAGGGCGAGUGCUUUAAAUACAAUACACUUGCCCUCUUGCACCCGCAGGAAAGGAACCGAUGAAAAAAAUAUGAAAAUUAUGCAACAGAGUACUGGUGGCCUAGUCACUUCCCUGUAUCCUUCUCUGAUCUUGACGAAUUCGAAAACCAAAACAAGAUUUCCGUCUACGUGUACGCGUACGUCGAUCAGGGAGUACAUGUGUCGCGACCCCCAAAACUAGAAUGGGAAAAGAAAAUUCACUUGUUGGAAGUAGAUGAGCAUUUUUUUGGAAUUAAGUCCCUCAAACGCUUGUUGACAACAAGAAGUAACCAUUUCGUAUGCGAACGCUGUACACGCUCUUUCGUGAAGGAAGAGAGCAUGGCGAAACAUUGAUGCCUUUGCACGGACGUGAACGAAAUCCUGUUGGAAUUUUGCGAGCCUGGAAAAAAUUUUGUAGAGUUUACUAAAAUGCAGUACAUGCAGCAGUACAACUACGUCGUUGCGUUGGACACUGAGAGCGUACUCGCAUCCAGUGGUGUUGGCAUGCAACGUCACAUUACCUCUAGCUUCUGUGCUGUGCUCGUGCGUACCCACGACUCAAAGGUGAUGCGUAUUAGAACACACCACGGGGAAGAUGCGGCAAAGCAGUGUGUGAAGGCGCUCAUGGAAAUGCGUGAUGAAAUGAUUGCCUUGAACGCCUGCCCCGCUGUAAUGGUGCUGAGCGAUGAACAACAAGCCAAGCACAGAGCUGCCACCCACUGUGCAUACUGUAAACGGGAAUUCGCGAAAGACCUACCUCGUGUCCGGCAUCAUGAUCAUUCGAAGCAUUGUACUGCGGGUGAGACAAAUUAUAUCGCGACACUGUGCAACCCCUGUAACGUCGCGUGCACUACCAGAGAAAAAUUGCCGAUCAUGGUCCACAAUUUGUCUUAUGAUUUGGCUGGACUGUUACGGGAAUUUCACGUUCUCGGGUGGAAGCGGCCUC